rnacentral:misc_RNA from 1 species
AUCACCUAAAAAAGAGUGAUAGAGAGAAAAAUCUCUCUUGUUUGGCUUUUUUCCUCUGCAACUGUGUUUGAUAAAAAUUUUCUCGCUCUCUCUCUUUCCCCCUUCUCUGCAAUUCCCCGCUUCUCUGUAUCCCAUUCUGUCGAUCGUCUGUCUUUCAAGGAAUAUUUUGGGGUUUGUUUUCUUGGUGGGUUUAAGCUUAAAUCCUUUUAGGAAAAACAGGCAAAACAUUUGAAUUGAAAGCCAGGUGAUUCAGAAUAGAGAUCCAGGCUUGUUUUAUAGUUCCCUGUAUUUCUUUCUUUUUCUGUAAGUUUUUAGUUUCAUCAACUUGGAGG